AAAGCUUCUUCUUGUUUGAGCCAAACAUCUUUUUAUAUCUGACAUUUGAGUGAGAAACAGUCAACUUGCUUUGCUAAGGCUAAUCCUGUCACUUGACCAGUUUUCAGAUGGAUCUCCUCACCAGCGUCCAGCAUUGGCCUUUUGGAUACAUGGAUUUUGCCCCUCCAGCUGAGGAUUCAGCAGCUGAAGAGCCACCAAUUGAGGAGCCUCCAUCCCCUUCUCGUUCUAAGUUGUUAACGAGAAUAUCCAUAUGCACGCCAACGGCGCCCUAUUCCACUUGGACCUAUUCUACCAAGAAGUUAAUGAAGCCCCACCAGCUGAGCCUCCAUUCCCUUGUUCCAUGUUCCAACCGCGCCUAUUCAGCCCGUACCUAUUCCGCCAAGAAGUUAAUGAAGCCCCACCAGCUGAGAUUAACCACCUACACCAGUUGACAGCUGAGAUUAACAUCCUACACCAGUUGAGGAUUCAGCAGCAGACGAGCCACCAACCGAGGAGCCUCCCUUCUCUUAAAUCGUUACUGGAUUGCCACAGAGAAAUUGAGGAAAUACAUAAUUCUCCUCUGGAUUUGUGGUCUUCAGCCUCCCCAUGGGGCCAGGACUAUAACAAGGACCAGGGCCAGGAUCCAGGUAGCGGAUGGAGAACACACGGACCACCUGGAGACCCACGUGCUAUCGCUGCCCUCCUGUUGCUGGGUUGUCAAUAGUUACCACAGCCACACAAAGUCAAAAUUGGCUAUAUCAUAAAACUUUAGGAAGAGAAACAUUAGCUUUUUGGUCUUAAUUUAAGGUUAGGGUUAGGCAUAAGGUUAGCAGUAUGGUUAAGGUUAGGGUUAGAUU